rnacentral:rRNA from 1 species
GGAAUCUUCGGAUUCUAGUGGCGGACGGGUGAGUAACGCGUAAGAAUCUAACUUCAGGACGGGGACAACAGUUGGAAACGACUGCUAAUACCCGAUGUGCCGCAAGGUGAAACCUAAUUGGCCUGAAGAAGAGCUUGCGUCUGAUUAGCUAGUUGGUGGGGUAAGAGCCUACCAAGGCGACGAUCAGUAGCUGGUCUGAGAGGAUGAGCAGCCACACUGGGACUGAGACACGGCCCAGACUCCUACGGGAGGCAGCAGUGGGGAAUUUUCCGCAAUGGGCGAAAGCCUGACGGAGCAACGCCGCGUGAGGGAGGAAGGUCUUUGGAUUGUAAACCUCUUUUCUCAAGGAAGAAGUUCUGACGGUACUCGAGGAAUCAGCCUCGGCUAACUCCGUGCCAGCAGCCGCGGUAAUACGGGGGAGGCAAGCGUUAUCCGGAAUUAUUGGGCGUAAAGCGUCCGCAGGUGGUCAGCCAAGUCUGCCGUCAAAUCAGGUUGCUUAACGACCUAAAGGCGGUGGAAACUGGCAGACUAGAGAGCAGUAGGGGUAGCAGGAAUUCCCAGUGUAGCGGUGAAAUGCGUAGAGAUUGGGAAGAACAUCGGUGGCGAAAGCGUGCUACUGGGCUGUAUCUGACACUCAGGGACGAAAGCUAGGGGAGCGAAAGGGAUUAGAUACCCCUGUAGUCCUGGCCGUAAACGAUGGAUACUAGGCGUGGCUUGUAUCGACCCGAGCCGUGCCGAAGCUAACGCGUUAAGUAUCCCGCCUGGGGAGUACGCACGCAAGUGUGAAACUCAAAGGAAUUGACGGGGGCCCGCACAAGCGGUGGAGUAUGUGGUUUAAUUCGAUGCAACGCGAAGAACCUUACCAAGACUUGACAUGUCGCGAACCCUGGNGAAAGCUGGGGGNGCCUUCGGGAGCGNGAACACAGGUGGNGCAUGGCUGUCGUCAGCUCGUG